rnacentral:rRNA from 1 species
CACGUAGGGGGCAAGCGUUGUCCGGAUUUAUUGGGCGUAAAGAGCUCGUAGGCGGCUCAGUAAGUCAGGUGUGAAACCUCCAGGCUCAACCUGGAGACGCCACCUGAUACUGCUGUGGCUAGAGUCCGGUAGGGGAGCGUGGAAUUCCUGGUGUAGCGGUGAAAUGCGCAGAUAUCAGGAAGAACAUCGGUGGCGAAGGCGGCAUCCUGGACCAACACUGACGCUGAGUGAGCGAAAGCCAGGGGAGCAAACGGG